GAACAGUGGUUGGGGUACUCGAGGUGAUAUCUAAUGGUCUUUAUUUGUUUUAUGAGAAAAGAAAAGAAAAUUUUUGGAUUUCUUCUUUUUAGAAAGUACCUUAUGUUACAUUUCUGGGCAUUGUGGGGAAGUUCUACAAUGUAAUUUUCUUGCUUUAGGAAGCAAAAGACGAGUCUUUUUAGCUUUUCAAAAUGCUGACCUUUUCCAAUGGGAAAAAGUUUAAGAAGAAUUAUUUUGAUUUUAGCAUCCUUAAAUAUCUAGUGAUAAGAGUUGC
rnacentral:misc_RNA from 1 species